UCAAACGAGAAAAUGAAGCCUCUAUUUAUAGUAAGGUUUGCCAACUUCUUCAGCCAAUCAAAUUGAUUGGUUUAUGCAACAUGCUUCAGCCUCUUGAUCUUGGCAAGUUGAGAAAUUGCAAAUGAUAUCUGCAAAGUCCAAACUUAGGGCCCCACAAUUAUUUUCUCUCCAUUCAUUUACUCCCUUCUUUAAUAUGAACUUCUUCAACUUGGCAAGCCUACAUUCCAAUUGCUUUUUCAAUUAGUGAGCACGGUACAUUUCCAAAAUGGAGACUUGCAGGUACGAUGAAGACAAACGACGGGAAACCGAGCAGUUUUGGUUGAUUCUGGAGGUGAUCUUAUGUGCACAAGUGAACGAGAGGAGCUUGCGACACUUAGGAGAAUUUCUGGAAGGAUUGAGCACAAAUGUACCAGCCCCGCGUCGCGGAUGCAACACGGAGUGGCAAUCAGAUGUGUCAGCCCCGCAUCGCGGGUCCAUGACGGGAAAACCAAGCUGAAAAAUCUCGAAUUUGCAUGUCACGCCCGCGUCGCGGGCUCAGCCUAAAUAGGGGCUAAAAUCAUUGAAGACCCCGCGUUGGACCCGCGACGCGUGGCCAACGCAGGAAGACCCAAUUUUAUCCGAUUUUAAUUAGGAUUAGGACCCUUUUAUUUGGUUAACAACCCUAAACUAUAAAUAGAUGUUUUGUUCGUUAUUAAUGACGUGCUGGGAUUAUUCCAAGACUUGUAAGCCGUCAUAUUACUUUCUCUUUAGAUUUUAUUUUAUUUUCAUCUUUCCAACCCUAGAUUAUUCAUGAAUUCUUGUUGUUCAUUAAGAAUCAUGAGUAGCUAAACUCCUUAAUUCUAGAGUUGUGGCGAAAGACAUAAUAGUUGGUUUGACGACACUUUCUAUCAAUUAAAUUUCCAUAUUUUGGGUUGCU